rnacentral:rRNA from 1 species
UACAGAGGGGGCGAAGCGUGUUCGGAAUUACUGGGCGUAAAGGGCGCGUAGGCGCCUUCUAAGUCGAACGUGAAAUCCCCGGGCUCAACCCGGGAACUGCGUCCGAUACUGGAAGGCUUGAAUCCGGGAGAGGGAUGCGGAAUUCCAGGUGUAGCGGUGAAAUGCGUAGAUAUCUGGAGGAACACCGGUGGCGAAGGCGGCAUCCUGGACCGGCAUUGACGCUGAGGCGCGAAAGCCAGGGGAGCAAACGGG